rnacentral:rRNA from 1 species
UACGUAGGGUGCGAGCGUUAAUCGGAAUUACUGGGCGUAAAGCGUGCGCAGGCGGUUAUGUAAGACAGUUGUGAAAUCCCCGGGCUCAACCUGGGAAUUGCAUUUGUGACUGCAUAGCUAGAGUACGGUAGAGGGGGAUGGAAUUCCGCGUGUAGCAGUGAAAUGCGUAGAUAUGCGGAGGAACACCGAUGGCGAAGGCAAUCCCCUGGACCUGUACUGACGCUCAUGCACGAAAGCGUGGGGAGCAAACAGG